rnacentral:rRNA from 3 species
GACGAGCUCUCCAAACGUUAUUCGGUAUCACUGGGCUUAAAGAGUUCGUAGGCGGCUUGACAGGUGAGGUGUGAAAGCCCACGGCCUAACCGUGGAAUUGCGCUUCAAACCGUCGGGCUAGAGGGAUGCAGGGGUAUGCGGAACAGAUGGUGGAGCGGUGAAAUGCGUUGAUAUCAUCUGGAACACCGGUGGCGAAAGCGGCAUACUGGGCAUUUUCUGACGCUGAGGAACGAAAGCUAGGGUAGCGAACGGG